ACGCUGGCGGCGUGCCUAAUACAUGCAAGUAGAACGCUGAAGCUUGGUGCUUGCACCGAGCGGAUGAGUUGCGAACGGGUGAGUAACGCGUAGGUAACCUGCCUCUUAGCGGGGGAUAACUAUUGGAAACGAUAGCUAAUACCGCAUAAAAGACGAUAUCGCAUGAUAUUGAUUUGAAAGGUGCAAAUGCAUCACUAAGAGAUGGACCUGCGUUGUAUUAGCUAGUUGGUGAGGUAACGGCUCACCAAGGCAACGAUACAUAGCCGACCUGAGAGGGUGAUCGGCCACACUGGGACUGAGACACGGCCCAGACUCCUACGGGAGGCAGCAGUAGGGAAUCUUCGGCAAUGGGGGCAACCCUGACCGAGCAACGCCGCGUGAGUGAAGAAGGUUUUCGGAUCGUAAAGCUCUGUUGUAAGAGAAGAACGAGUGUGAGAGUGGAAAGUUCACACUGUGACGGUAACUUACCAGAAAGGGACGGCUAACUACGUGCCAGCAGCCGCGGUAAUACGUGGUCCCGAGCGUUAUCCGGAUUUAUUGGGCGUAAAGCGAGCGCAGGCGGUUAGAUAAGUCUGAAGUUAAAGGCUGUGGCUUAACCAUAGUACGCUUUGGAAACUGUUUAACUUGAGUGCAGAAGGGGAGAGUGGAAUUCCAUGUGUAGCGGUGAAAUGCGUAGAUAUAUGGAGGAACACCGGUGGCGAAAGCGGCUCUCUGGUCUGUAACUGACGCUGAGGCUCGAAAGCGUGGGGAGCAAACAGGAUUAGAUACCCUGGUAGUCCACGCCGUAAACGAUGAGUGCUAGGUGUUGGGUCCUUUCCGGGACUCAGUGCCGCAGCUAACGCAUUAAGCACUCCGCCUGGGGAGUACGACCGCAAGGUUGAAACUCAAAGGAAUUGACGGGGGCCCGCA
rnacentral:rRNA from 1 species